CUUUCCCAGCUGUCACUGUGCUGCUUAUCUGACUCGUGCUCAUGUUUUCUCUGCUCUCAGGGCAGCCAGGGCUGGGUGACUGUUCUCUCCUUCCCCUCAGCCCUUCUCCAGGAGUUUGGCUGGCUGUGUGUGUCUGUGCAGGUGCCUGGCACUGGGAGAUACCUGCUGUGUGCUGCUUGUGUCUGCAGGGGAAGAGCAACCAGCAAAUGCCCAGUUCUGGGAGGCAGCAGUGACUCCUCGGGGAGCUGCUUCCUGACAGGAUGUAUUUUCUUGGGAUGACUCAGGAGCUGCUUCACGAGAUGCAGGAAAAACUCCCCAUCUUUGUCCUGAUUGCAGCUGGACUGUUGGAUUUGUCUGGAGCCUCCAGGAGUGAACGUGAUGCCAGUGACAUGUUGGCCCUGGGCUUCCCUGGAUGGGCCCAGCCCAGAGCUGAGAGCAGCCCAGUGCCCAGCGAGGGCUUCCCUGGGACAGAGGACGACUUGGAUGGGGUGACCUUCCACUUCCAGAGCCCAGCAGCUGAUCCCACCAAGGCAACCACGGCUGACUCCAGCCCUGCUGCCACAGGGAGAGCUGCAAACAGGACAGCUCUGCUGCCUGGGGGCUUGGCUGGGACCCUGGAGGUGUCUGAGCCCCUGCACACACAAACAGCAGCUUCAAAACCCCAGGCUGGACACGCCUGGCCUGGCCAGCUCUCGGGGAGCUUCAGCAUCCCUGUCUCCACACAAGGAUCCCAGGCUACCACAGCUCUGGAGCAGCCAGGCAGG